GGAUAUAUGACUGAAUCGGUUAAGGUGGAAGUUUGCUAAACUUUGGGAUAUUACUGUCCCUGUUGGUUCAAAUCCAACUAUAUCCA